rnacentral:rRNA from 1 species
UACGUAGGGUCCGAGCGUUGUCCGGAAUUAUUGGGCGUAAAGGGCUCGUAGGCGGUUCGUCGCGUCGGGAGUGAAAACUCGGAGCUCAACUCCGAGCCUGCUUCCGAUACGGGCAGACUAGAGGUAGGCAGGGGAGAGCGGAACUCCUGGUGUAGCGGUGGAAUGCGCAGAUAUCAGGAAGAACACCUAUGGCGAAGGCAGCUCUCUGGGACGGUACUGACGCUGAGACGCGAAAGCGUGGGGAGCGAACAGG